rnacentral:rRNA from 1 species
UACGUAGGUGGCAAGCGUUGUCCGGAUUUACUGGGCGUAAAGAGCGCGCAGGCGGUCGGAUCAGUCGAAUGUGAAAGCCCCCGGCUCAACUGGGGAGGGUCAUUCGAUACUGUCCGACUCGAAGGCAGGAGAGGGAAGCGGAAUUCUCGGUGUAGAGGUGAAAUUCGUAGAUAUCGAGAGGAACACCGGUGGCGAAGGCGGGUCUCUGGGCCGAUACUGACGCUGAGGAGCGAAAGCGUGGGGAGCGAACAGG